UUCGCUGCCAUGAAUUUCGCGCUAAUUACCGUAAUGUCACUGUCGACACCCAUCGUCGCUCGUGACCAAUUGAAAAUUGACGUUAGAAUGAUACUUGGACAUCCACCAUCCUCCGCUACAAAAAGUCAUUUAAUCGCCUAGAUUGAGACAACAGCUUGAGAAAGGAAGGGCAACGCUUGUUGCGCGUAAUUAAUGAUCGUUGUAUCGCAAUGUGUUGCGAAUUAUUUGAGAACUAUUGUGUUGGAAAGAAAGAUUGAUUUAAUGAAAUUCUAGAUCGAUGGACAUAAUUUAAACCGGGUUAGAUCGUCUCUCGUAGAUCAACGAACGGGUCUGACUCGAUUCAGAACACGUACCGGAAGGAAGACUCUUUCGUAUGAUGGACGCACACUACCGACGACGUGAUUUUCACCUUGACCAUGGGCGGGUCAUCGUCCAUCGUUGUACCUUCAAGUUCUCGCGUGGAACCUCGAAAUUUAAUGUGGGACAGCCAUUGCCACGUCGACAUCAUUAACAACGACAACAUGGUCCCCUAUUGCGACGACAGAAGCCGAGGAAUGCGCGUGGGCAUACAGAGAAGGUGUGGUGCAUGCUUCGAGGACAAUGCAAAGUGAAUUCGAGCGGUCGUGUCUGCGAACGACGCUCGAAAAUGGGUCGACCAGGCGUUUUGUUCGAGAUCGACGCGGAUCUGCUCCGGUUUUACGGGGCGAUGAUUCCUCGGGGUCGUCGACUUUCGUUUCGAUGAUCGACGAAGGACGAAUCGACCUUUUAUUUCGUUCGCGAAACUCGCUCACCUCAACGGUAUAACGAAACCUUGACGUGGGUAACUUUUACCGAUUUCACGGCGAAAAAUGGGCCGCAGACGUGGAGUCGAUCGUUCUCGAUUAAAUUAUCGAUUCGUUCGCUGAUUUUAAUGUUCACAGACGGAGUGAAUAACAGAGCUGUAGAUUCUUAUAAGUGGAUACUCCUGUUUCGCGAGUUCUUUGAAGAAUUUAUUUGUAAAAAACUUUGAAGCAUUCAGUGUUAAACUUUUGUACGUUUAUUUGUUCCUUCAGCAUAUGAUUUUAUUUAUAAUAUCAAUUAGUUGGUGAAAAAGCCCUUCGAGCAGAGUUUACCAGAUUACUGGUCUUCUUCAGAUUAAUAGUGUAUAAUAACCUAACAGAUUAAGUGUGUGGUAUGUACAUACACAAUUGUUAUGGAGCAAGUAAAAACUUUAAUGCAUCUACGAAGGUGACCAAUAAUCUCGUUGAGAACGAUUAUAGUUGAUUAUUAAC